rnacentral:lncRNA from 1 species
AAAAUUCUUAAGUGGGAUAUAUUAGGUUCAUGACCCAAAACUCAUUGCAACGGGGAAUAUUAGUGAUAAUUCGUCAUUCUGAGGCGAACUAGCAUUGCUGCAUGCAAAAUGGCGUGAUCCCAAACCGAAGUGGGCAUCCUCGUUUUCAUGAGUAAAUGAGGAAUUCAAGAUUAUUCUCAUCUAUUGUCUCAAUAUGAUAUCCAUUUUGAAUGAUAUCUUUAAAACUCAACAAG